ACCAUAGCGGAGAGGAUACACCCGUUCCCAUCCCGAACACGGCAGUUAAGCUCUCCAGCGCCGAUGGUACUGGGGUUCGUCCCCGGGAGAGUAGGUCGUUGCCGGAA
rnacentral:rRNA from 1 species